AGUCUCUCCCUGAAACCAGAGACAACAUUAUUUUGUUAAAUGAUGACAGUUGCUAAAUUGUUUCUGUCAGUUAAUGUGCUAUUAGCUUAGCCACUUCACAAGGGUGUUCUUUCUGAGAUGAAGAGGGCGUAUUUUACAUGGGGAUAGUCUUUUUAAUCACUUCAAGGCAAACGUCUCUGCUCAACCAUGUAGGUGAUAAGGAGACAUCUGGAGACGCAGGUCCUAACUUUAUGCAUCUUGAGAGGCUGCCAAGGGACGGCGACCUUGAAAAGCCAGGUAAGAAGCUAACGUGUUUUUAAACACCUAAGGGACAGGAAGAGAAGGGUGAGAUACAGCGCAUUUAGCAGAGAGGGCAAAUUUUCCUAGGCUUUAACUGCAGCAAAUGCCCUGUGGUCAGUUUGAAAUGACUAUUAUUACGAAGAUCAGCACAGGCUCCACCCCUUUGCUAUAGUAAUCCUUCGAUUUCAGUCCCACCCCUGAGAGGGCAGACUCACCAAAUUUUAGCUUUCCACUCCAUCGUCAUCAAAAUAAUAGCUGCAAUCUUACUAAGCACUUAAUAAGAGCUCAAAAUCAGUAGGUAUUAUAAUUGUUAUUCUUAUGUUUCGGGCACUGGUACUUUUGUUAAGACACUUUACAGAUGACAGAACUGAGCUCAUAGUUGUGAAGUGACCUGCUGAAUGUCAGGUGGCUGCAGGUGGCGAGGCUGAGAUCAGAGCAGAGUUCUGCCAGAGAACAGAGGCCAGAUGCUCAGGGGAGACGCUGUGUUACCCGCUUGCCCUGUGACCUGCUCCUCAUGACCGUCCAUCCACGGAACCACGUUCCUGCUCUGCUACAGGAGGCAGCAUGGUGGAUGCCCUAAGGGUCCCUGUCCAAAUCCUCAGAAUCUGUGAAUUUACUAUGUUACAUGGUAAAGGGGAAUUAAGGUUGCAGAUGGAAAUAAAGUACAGAGAUUAUCCUGGAUGAUAAUGUGAUCACAAGUGAGAGGGAGGCAGACAGUGUGAUGAAGCAGCAGCUUAGAGCGAUUCGAUGUGAGAAAAUGCAACUGGCCAUUGCUGCCUUUGAAGAAAGAAAGAGAGAGAGAGAGAGACCACAAGCCAAGGAGAAAAGGCAGCCUCUAGAAACUGGAAAUGGCAAAGGAGCGGCUUCUUUCUGUGAAGGUUAAUUUUAUGGUCCAUGUAACUGGGCCAUAGGGUGCCUAGAUUGAACAUUAUCCUGGAAACCGGAUAUUCUUGGGAAUUGAGGGACUCUUGAGAAAAGAUCUUAAAAUAGUAUCAAUGGUUGAGUAUUAGCAUUUACAGAAAUGCCUAACACGAAAGAAGGAACCAGCAAGGAGAGUUCCCAUCAUGACUCAGUGGCAAUGAACCCAACUAGUAUCCAUGAGGAUGAUGUGGAUUUGAUCCCUGACCUCGCUCAGUGGGUUGAGGACCCAGCAUUGCCGGUGAGCUGUGGUGCAGGUCGCAGACAUGGCUCAGAUCUGGCGUUGCUGUGGCUGUGGUGUAGCUGUAGCUCUGAUUCAGCUCCUAACCUGGGAACUUCCAUAUGCCUUAGGUGCGGCCCUAAAAAAGGGAAGAAAGAAAGAAAGAACAAACAAACAAGUUAACCAUAAGAAAAGACAGGUUCAUCUGACAGAAAAUUCACCCCACAGGAGGAGAGAACUUGGUUCUGAGUCCAACUAACCACAGAAGAAGGCAAUGAGAGAGAAGUGGUUCCAGGUCCCUUAUAAAAUGAACAUCUGAUCUGACCACUCUAAAGGGGUGUGCAUGCCCUCUAGAGGUAAGAAAGAGGAAAAAGAACAUUUAUGAAAUGCCAGAAGAAUACUAAGGCAUCAGAAAAGCCAUGUACCAUAUGUACUGCUAUGAGGGCAGCACAUAUGAAAGGUAAUUAGGUACCUCUUUUAAAUGAAACCAUUAAAAAUGGAAAGGCCAUUCUUAGACCUUGGGCCAUGAAAGAAAGAAAGGAAAGAGAAAGCAAGCAAGCAAGCAAGCAAGCAGAAAGAAAGAGGCAGAGGGUGCAAACUGACCCAGGAGCAGCAGAUGGAAUUCCUAGUUCCAUUGCAUGUGGUUUAUCCUCAGUCAUUUAACACUCAAGGACUCUAGCUUUAAAGGGUUCUUUCUCUAACUGAAGUUAAUGACAACCUUCUGUUGUAUCCUGGUGACUUUUUUAAGUAUGUGGGGUGGGUGGGUGGGGGGAGUUAAACCUUCCACAGGUCUUACUGGACUUAUUCCAAUGGAAUUACUGGGAAUCUGGACUCCCUCCCCUGUUUCUCUUUGAAAUGUUUACCACAUCAAUAUUCUUGGGCUUCUUCCACAGCCUAUUUAACAGAAAACACAUUUUCAUCCGUGCUUUUAGUCUUUUCCACACUGGCAUCCUUUGGAUCUUAAAAAGGAACAGUGUUGGGCUAAUUAAUUACUUUGCAAGCGCUCAGAAAUCAGCCUUCUUUUUUGUUAUUACUGUCAGUGGAUGUCUGAAUUCUCUUAACAUAUUAAAUAUUUCUUAGAUGAGUAAAUAUUCCUAGAAUGAAUAGCUUUUUGGAAUCCAAACUUUUCUGGGGAGAUAAACUUUCACAGAGCAACUUGUGCUUUUUAAUCCCUAAAUAAUUAAAACGAGAUAAUCUCGUGCCCACUCGUUUUCCGCAUUUGGAUCUCAGCUCCAGGAGAAGUGUCCGUAGCCAGACAGAAGUCUCAGUCUGCCUGGGAGGUGCCCCAGUGAAUCUGCCACAUUUUCCCCACCCUCUCUGAGACCACAGCCCCACCUCCACAUUCCUCAUUCUCAACAGAUGAUCCCUCCUCCUUCUAAAUAAUUGAGAACAUUUAUCAGGACCCGCAGCAUCUCCACCUGAAAGUUUAUGGGCAUCUUCACUUGCCUUUUCUUGUUUGUUCUUCUUUCCGAGGAGAACACUGUUUUUCUCCUUAACACACCCAAGUUCUUAGCUGUUCCUUGGUCUCAUGCACUGCUUCCCACUCCAGUGUACUACUCUAUUUAUGAAAUCUUUACGGCAUUCUCCUUUGCUCCCGUUCCACUCCUCCUCCUCUUUGGCCAUAAGUAUACUCAUAUUGCCCCUAUCAUUAAAAACAGCAACUUUGCUCUCUACUGU
rnacentral:lncRNA from 1 species